ensembl:lncRNA
ACUGAAUCUACAAGACCACUCCAGUUGGGCCUCCCGAGUGGUGCAGUGGUCUAUGCACUUGCCUGGAACGUCUUAUUGCGUUGCUAUUGCAAGCGUUGCUGAAAGAACCAUGAAGGGGUGCACCUGGUCUGCAACAUUGUUUAGGUACUUGUCGAUCAUCGGAUUUGUCAUCAAUAUCGACACAUUGAUGCUGAUGAUUCCUGAACUGCUCAAAGUUCAGCGAUUACACUGAGUGGAGCGGCGGACCGGUUCAAGAUGGCGGUCCCAGAUGGCGGUCCCAGAUGGCGGUCCCAGAUGGCGGUCCCA